rnacentral:lncRNA from 1 species
AUAGAUUAAAAUGUAUGACUAGGCGGCUAUUAAUGAUUGAAAAAUAUUUCACUUGAUAUUCAUUAUCUCGAAAAUUUUGAGUUAUAGUGUUACACCCCAUACUUUCCAUCACAUAUGAAGUUGAAUAUCAAUGAGGUUUUGGCACAACCAAUCGGUCGGCAACACGUCAUACGGACAAAGAGUGAUUACAUAUGCUCAAUUUACGCCAAUUGCCCCACUAGGCACAGAGUCGGUGCGGGCGGCCAGUUUGGCACUUAGGACGGUGGGAUUUCUAGACUUGAUCUAAAAAGGCGGUACAACUUUCUUCUCUUUCAUUUUAAAAUUCAUCGCCAGCUUCAGCCCAACCAAAAUGCCUCAAAGCCCUUUACGAACUUCUAAAUGAUUCAAGGUUAAGUCAAGGAGAAAAUAGUAGGAUUUAGCAUAAAGAAUCUUGUGAUCAUCACUGUAUUGUCUUCUUGUUAUACUGAUUUUGGAGAUACCCUGGAGGCGGAGAUAAUCGCCAUAGACGUGUGAGAAUUCAGGAAGCGUAACUAGUUCUUCAACAAGACAUGUAAGGCACUUCUUCUCCUUGGCAUGUCUUUAUGUAAGCGCUUUUUUCUGAAUCAUCCAUUUGUGAUAACACUGAAUUGCUUAAGGCCUCUCUUGACAAGGUUGUUCAUGUUCUUGUAUGUUUUUUGUCUGAGGCAUUUUCUCUCCAAUUUGAGAUAUUUCUGGAUGAUAUUUUGAGGUGAUAAAAUGUAAUUCAUUCUGAUUCUGAUCUUCAUAUCUCUUGAAAUCGACCUUGCAUUACACACACACACAUAGGAGCUCUAUAAGCGGCCGAAUACGGCACCUAAUGUGCAGCCAUUGAUUAGUUGGGUAUAAGGAGACAUGAUGUGAAUUAUUCACCGAGCUCUCAUGUGGCCUGUUAUGAUCGAGGCCUUCAUGAGGCCAGGUACGGAAGGAUGUGUUAUGAGAUACUACCGAGAUCUUUCGAGGCCAAAUACGCCAAGUCCUAUUGAGCCCAAACUGGGACCUCUUGAGGCCGUAAAAGCAAAAACCUUUGCCAAGUCCUCUAUGAGGCCGGGAAUGACAUGAGAUGAUAAGUCCCAAAUAGUGGAUAAAUAAUAUUAUAUUAUAUCUAAUGUGUAUUCUUAGUGAGUGGCUUAACCUUUUACAAAACUUGGACACAUUCAUGAUUCAUAAUCACUCCAGUACAUGCCCCCAGUGGCUUAUUUUCGGUGCUCAGGUUGAGUGGCGUAUUCAUGUCUCUUAUGUUAUGUUCUUGGUUUACAUAUAUUAUCAAUGUUACAUAAUCAAUACAUCUUUCGUACUGAUAUCCUUUUCUUUUGGGUGUUGUGUCCAUGCUCACAGGUACAGAUAGACCCGGUGACGUCCCUCCCUAGUAGGGUGUACAUUUCAACGGUUGGUUGCCACACUCCACUUAUUUGAAAUAACUGUACAUAAUUCAAUAAGUACUGGAGUAUGUGUCUUUAUCAUUUUGGGUAUGUGUAUGCGGUGAAAUCCAUAGGGUAAAAUUUUAUAGUCAUUAUGACGCUUCGUGGGCACGCCUCCAAAGGCUCGAGACAAUGGUCUAGGUUUGACCCCGAGAGGUUAUCAACGUUUGACCUCGGGGAAGUACAGAUCGGUAGUUGUGAUGGAAAAAUGGGAAGUUCCCAAGGCACGUGAUUUAGGCUGACCGAGUCUAUUAGGCUAGUAUAAGCCCGUACCGUGGUAUUAAAUGACUAUACCAACCAUAUAUCUAUGUAAUAAAUGCAUUUAUACUAUGUUGGAAUUCCCUCUCAUAUAUAAAGAGGACCCUUGUCAUUUUGUAAAGGAGGAGAAUAUCACACACAACAUUCAAUACAAGAACAUUCCCUGCUCUCUAACACAUUCUCCUUGAUUCUAUUAUUUACAUUUAUUGCUUGCAUUUAUUGUGUUCCAUUAAUUGCUCUUCAUUUAUUGCUCAUUAUUGAUCAUAAAGAGCUCAGAUCAAAGCUCCUAUAAUUAUUAGUCCUUCAUCGGCCGGUCACAACUCAACGCUAAGCUCGACCUCGAGGCCCCGUAUAGGCCAGCUCGAGGCCCAUAUCCUCAACCAUUCGGUUUGCUUAAACAUACUGGUUUCAAAGUUUUUAUCUCAU